rnacentral:rRNA from 1 species
AGCAGCCGCGGUAAUUCCAGCUCCAAUAGCGUAUAUUAAAGUUGUUGCAGUUAAAAAGCUCGUAGUUGAAUUUCGGGAUUGACGUGAUGGUCAUGCCUUAAGGGGUAUGAACUGUUACUGUUGAUUUCUCACCUUCUGGAGAAACCUGAUGUCCUUUAUUGGGUGUCUUGCGGAUCCAGGACCUUUACCUUGAAAAAAUUAGAGUGUUUAAAGCAGGCAUUUUUGCUCGAAUACAUUAGCAUGGAAUAAUAGAAUAGGACGGUCAUGGUUCUAUUUUGUUGGUUUCUAGGAUCACCGUAAUGAUUAAUAGGGAUAGUUGGGGGCAUUAGUAUUCAAUUGUCAGAGGUGAAAUUCUUGGAUUUAUUGAAGACUAACUACUGCGAAAGCAUUUGCCAAGGAUGUUUUCAUUAAUCAAGAACGAAAGUUAGGGGAUCGAAGACGAUCAGAUACCGUCGUAGUCUUAACCAUAAACUAUGCCGACUAGGGAUCGGAUGAUGUUAAUUUUUAAUGACUCU